GUCAAAAACAACAUCCCCGUGAAAGAAGAUAUAGAAGCAAUUCCCAAUGUCUUGUAUCGACCUAAAUAAGUGUCACAUAAGAACGCACCAAGCAGCGUACCAAAAUUGCAAGUACCAUUGAAGACAUUAACGAGAUUAGUAGCAUUAAUUGACUUCAUAUGGAAUACAGUGGUUAAGUAAACCAAGAGAUUCGAUGAGGUUCCAAGCGUUCCCAGCUUCUCAAAG
rnacentral:misc_RNA from 1 species